rnacentral:rRNA from 1 species
AGAGCGAACGCUGGCGGCAUGCUUAACACAUGCAAGUCGCACGGGCAUUUCGGUGUCAGUGGCGGACGGGUGAGUAACGCGUAGGUAUCUAUCCUUGGGUGGGGGAUAACGGUUGGAAACGACUGCUAAUACCGCAUGAUAACUGAGGUUUAAAGGCGCAAGUCGCCUGGGGAGGAGCCUGCGUACGAUUAGCUUGUUGGUGGGGUAAAGGCCUACCAAGGCGACGAUCGUUAGCUGGUCUGAGAGGAUGAUCAGCCACAUUGGGACUGAGACACGGCCCAAACUCCUACGGGAGGCAGCAGUGGGGAAUAUUGGACAAUGGGCGAAAGCCUGAUCCAGCAAUGCCGCGUGUGUGAAGAAGGUCUUCGGAUUGUAAAGCACUUUCGACAGGGACGAUGAUGACGGUACCUGUAGAAGAAGCCCCGGCUAACUUCGCGCCAGCAGCCGC